CAAAAUAUAGCUUAAUCAAAGCCUCUCGCUUACAUCGAGAAUAUGCCUGUUACACCCAGACUAUUUUGA
rnacentral:tRNA from 1 species